ACGCUCGACACCUACGGGGGGCAGCAGUGGGGAAUAUUGCACAAUGGAGGGAAAACUCUGAUGCAGCGACGCCGCGUGAGCGAAGAAGUAUUUCGGUAUGUAAAGCUCUAUCAGCAGGGAAGAAAAAGGACGGUACCUGACUAAGAAGCUCCGGCUAAAUACGUGUCAGCAGCCGCGGUAAUCUGAGCGGGCUGGCAAGGC
rnacentral:rRNA from 1 species